CUGGAGCGUGAACCUCCGCCCCCGAGCCCAGGAGGGGGCAGCAGGUGCCGGGGCAGCUGGGCGUGCGCCCGCCGGUGGACUCGGCGCCCCCGGCGCGGGCGUUUCAUGCGACACUCCAGGAUGGGGGCUGCAGGGACGCACAGAACUUACGCCCUAGCUCCGUGGAGCCUCUAUGAAUAAGACAAGUCAGCGCUAAAAAUACAGUGGACAACCCGGAGGGACAUAAGCCAGGGAUCUGCAAUCCAGGAGGGUCCAGAGUGGUCCCAGAGACCCCCCUUGGAGGAGGUGGGCGGGACCCUGGAUGUUUUGCUCCAGCUGUAAGGCCUGGCAAGCAGAGGGCCCUCGGGAAAUGUAUGUUGGCUGAAUGCACGACGGAAUGGAGCCCAUGUGAAGGUGCAGGGAGAAGGCCGUGUGACAACAGUGGCGGAGACUGAAGAGAUGUACGCACAGGCCAAGGAGCACCACGAUCCCUGGGAGCACCACAAGUGAUGAGAAAGGCACGUGUGGAACAGAUUCUCCCUUCUUCGUGCACUCGGAGGGAGUCCAAGUCCUGCUGCCACCUUGAGUCUGGACCUCGGGCUCCAGAACCACGAGAGAAUGACCUUCUGUUGUCCUCA